GGGCCAGUGUGAAAUUCAAAGUAUACUGGCAGCUGGCCAGUUAUGUACAUCAUAGUACUAACCUCAGCAUCCAUUCAUCUGACAACCUUCAGGAAAUCAUUAGAAACCAAUCAUUUGGAUCCACCACUGUUUGGACGAGGAAUUAGAGCCUUUAGGAUAAGAACCACACCUCUGCCAGAGUCUCCCCACCCAGCACCACACUGAAUCCCUGGGAGAGCAGCCUAUAGAGCUGGCAUAGAUGCCAGUGAGGACAGUGAUGCUGGGGGCAGGAUGGAGCUGUACUGUCAGCUAGAGAGAGGAGGGGCCUGCUGCCCUGCUAUAUAAAGACAGGAAGCCCGACUCCUCUAGAUGUGUCACUGUGCCGCCUCUCCCCAAUUGAGAUUCCCAUACUGUCCCACACUGUGCCCUCCUCAUCUCUUCCCAUCACUCUGGUCUGAGGGUCCCAGAGAAUUUCCCUGGUGGUCGCCCAUCUUUAUCUCUCUCCCUCUGGACUGAGGGCUCCCACGUCCCACCUGGCCUCCCGUACAAUCACGCUGAUCUGAAGGCACCUACCUACCUACCUGCAGCUUUUCAUUCGUUGACGCUUUUCUUGGGACCCGGCUCAAGAUGCCAGAGCCCACAAAGAAAGAUGAGAUGUCCAAUGGUGAAAAAGAACAACCGGUAGAGACUGAGGGGAAGGAUCCACAGCCCAUAGAGGUGCUUAAGCCUGUACAGCCAGAACCAGUAGAGAAUGGGUCUAAAGAACCAGAACCAGAGGCGGUAGUGGUCGGGGCUAAAGAGCAAGUCGAGUCUGUGAACUCUGAAGUAAAGGAGGAGGCCCCGUCCCCUUGCUCACCCCCACCGCCUGGUAAGUCAAAUUCACUCAGUCUCAAGCCAUUCACAGUAAAAGUGCAUGCUGUUUUCUAUAACUAA
rnacentral:lncRNA from 8 species